rnacentral:lncRNA from 1 species
AAAGCUGUACUUAUGUAAUAAUCCUAUAAAUGUAAACUGUAUAACAAGAAAAUAACUGUUUGACUUAUUUAGAAUAAUUCAAAAAUCGAAUAAAAUUAUACUAAAAAAAAGUAUCUUUAUCUUAUCUAUCUAAGAUCAUGAAACUACUAAAUAAUUAUUUGCAGAAUGCAUGAAAGGCAGGGUAUAUAUGAAGACAGCAAGUAAAAAUAAUAUAAAAAAGGAAAUAAAAAUAAAAUAAAACAUUGAUCACUAUAUACUAAUCCAAUAAUAAAAAAAAAUAAAAAUCAGGAUAGGUAAAAUUCCAAGUGGCUGUUUUCUAAAUAAUAUUUAAAUUAAAGAAGUGAAUAUUUUUUUCAAUCUCGUCUCUAGUUGCCUUCAGAUAAUAAUAAUGCAAAGAAAACUCCAAGCACCAUACAUCUGUAUAUAAGAAAUAAAAGUUCAAACAAAUAUACUUGCCUAGAACAGUUGUGUAGAAUGUAAAGCCAGUUCAAUAUAUAACACUCAUGGAAAUCUCUGUAUGGUCACAAAAUAUAGAAGGAUCUGAUGAUAUAUUAGAUUCUGCUCGAUCACAUAAUACUCUCUAACACAGUAACAUGGUUAUAAACUUCACAUGAAAAACU